GACGUAGGGCGCAAGCGUUGUCCGGAAUUAUUGGGCGUAAAGGGCUCGUAGGCGGUUUGUCGCGUCGGGAGUGAAAACACGGGGCUUAACCCCGUGCCUGCUUCCGAUACGGGCAGACUAGAGGUAUGCAGGGGAGAACGGAAUUCCUGGUGUAGCGGUGAAAUGCGCAGAUAUCAGGAGGAACACCGGUGGCGAAGGCGGGUCUCUGGGCAGUAACUGACGCUGAGGAGCGAAGGCGUGGGGAGCGAACAGG
rnacentral:rRNA from 1 species